AUUGAACGCUGGCGGCAUGCUUUACACAUGCAAGUCGAACGGUAACAGGCCGCAAGGUGCUGACGAGUGGCGAACGGGUGAGUAAUGCAUCGGAACGUGCCCAGUCGUGGGGGAUAACGCAGCGAACGCUGUGCUAAUACCGCAUACGAUCUGUGGAUGAAAGCGGGGGACCGAAAGGCCUCGCGCGAUUGGAGCGGCCGAUGUCAGAUUAGGUAGUUGGUGGGGUAAAGGCUCAACAAGCCAACGAUCUGUAGCUGGUCUGAGAGGACGACCAGCCACACUGGGACUGAGACACGGCCCAGACUCCUACGGGAGGCAGCAGUGGGGAAUUUUGGACAAUGGGCGCAAGCCUGAUCCAGCAAUGCCGCGUGCAGGAAGAAGGCCUUCGGGUUGUAAACUGCUUUUGUACGGAGCGAAAAGGCUCUCUCUAAUACAGGGGGCUCAUGACGGUACCGUAAGAAUAAGCACCGGCUAACUACGUGCCAGCAGCCGCCGUAAGAC
rnacentral:rRNA from 1 species